GACGGAAGGUGCAAGCGUUGCUCGGAAUCACUGGGCGUAAAGGGUGCGUAGGCGGCCGUGCAAGUCUGGCGUGAAAGCCCGGGCUCAGCCCGGGAAGUGCGCUCGAAACUGCGCGGCUCGAGUGCCGGAGGGGAGAGUGGAAGUUCCUGGUGUAGCGGUGAAAUGCGUAGGAUAUCAGGAGGAAUACCGGUGGCGAAGGCGGG
rnacentral:rRNA from 1 species